AAGGAGAAGAACCCAAAUGCAAAGGUGACGUAGAUCAUUUUUUUCCUGUUAUGUUAACAUGUAAAUUACAUGAUCCUAUGAUGGGUUUGAUGCCAAAGUUGUUUUUGUAAUCCAUUUUAAAUACAUAUCUUUGAAUGAUCCUAGCAUGCCUUUGUUCAGUUUGUAUGUGUCAAUUCUUUGAAAAUCAUAAUCUUAAAGGUUAAUUAUCUGAAAAUCCCCAAAUUCUAUGGUUGGUUGUUCAUACCUAUACCUGUGUGGUGGUCAUGUUUUGGCUUGCUACUUAGGUUGUUUUCGAAUUCUCUUGUCCGUGCUUUUAUUUGUGCUUCUUCUCGGGCCACAAUGCAGCGGCGUUGCUACAGGUUCCCUGCUUGACUGGUGGUCUUUCGUUACUGUGCGGCGUUGAGAGCAUGCUUCAGCCUUGGCUACUAAUGACGCAGGUGAUUUCCCCUUCUUACCUUCUUCCUUUCCAUGUGCUGUCGGCACUGGCCUUUGUGCCAUGACCAUGCAUUUUGUGCUUUUUUUCUUCAGAAAGUCAGCGAUGGUUUUGCACACUUUUAGAUUCAGACCUUGUCAAUCUUCAUAGUCGUAUCAAAAGUAGUGUAUGAAAUGUCAACUUGGAAUCAUAUGCGUGCCAAUUAUCUUGUCUGUCUAUUUAUGCAGAAAUUUUGCUUAAGAUGCUGACACUCUGACAUUGUGUUUACAUAUGUUACUUGAUGUUGUAUCAUUCUACAACAAGGUUACUGAUCUUACAGAUAAAAAGCAGGUUGCUAAGAUCAGUAUUGAUAAAAUGCAGGUAUGUUUUGCUUCCACACUAGCACUAUGUAUGAAGUGCAAAGCUGGGUGGGCGGCCACGAGGGCGAGGAGUUCGUCGGCGUCGGCGCAUGCUUCGGCCCCAAGAUCGUCUCCAAGGAGAAGCAGGCCAC
rnacentral:lncRNA from 1 species